UACGUAGGUGGCAAGCGUUGUCCGGAUUUAUUGGGUUUAAAGGGUGCGUAGGCGGCUUUGUAAGUCAGUGGUGAAAUAUGGCAGCUCAACUGUCAGGGUGCCAUUGAUACUGCGGAGCUUGAGUACAGAUGAGGUAGGCGGAAUUGACGGUGUAGCGGUGAAAUGCUUAGAUAUCGUCAAGAACACCGAUAGCGAAGGCAGCUUACUGGGCUGUAACUGACGCUGAGGCACGAAAAGUGUGGGGAUCAAACAGG
rnacentral:rRNA from 1 species